rnacentral:rRNA from 1 species
GGGAAUACCCGGACAGUUCGAGUGAUAGCGACUAUAUCGCAGUCGCAUUCCCCCACGUUUGUAUUUCUUUGCGAGACAAGACAAACCGCAAAUAAAAUGAGGAGAAUAAGAAGCAGGCUUGGCUUGAAGGGGUUUGAAGGAGUGGAUAGUAAUGGGAUGAGUGGUGGACUCGCCCUGUAUUGGCAUGAGAAUUGUGAUGUCAGCAUAUUGGAUAAGCACGAUCGUUAUAUUGAUGCUCUAGUAAAAGUUAACUCUGAUGCGGUGCAAUGGAGAAUGACUUGUGUUUAUGGGGAACCACGGGUGAAUAGGCACAUGAUGUGGACUAAGCUCAGAAACCUUAAGAGCGUGAGUGAUCACCCGUGGUUAGUCAUUGGCGAUUUUAAUGAAGCCUUGUGGGAUUUUGAGCACCUAUCAGCAACACCGAGGCCUGAGAUCCAAAUGGUGGCAUUCAGAGACACGCUGGAGGCGUGCGAGUUGGUGGACUUGGGGUUCACAGGAAUCCCCUUCACAUAUGAUAACAAAUGA